GAAUGCAGAAACGGCUUUUACGGACAAGUCUGUCGCCCGUGUGGAGCUGGGUGUAACAACAGAUGGUGUGACAAGACUCACGGUCACUGUACAUGUAAAACCGGCUGGACGGGAACUCACUGCAACGAAUGCGGGGGCGACUAUUACAUGGACGGGGGACACUGUGUAAAGUGUAGAACAGGGUGUAAGCCGCGGACUUGUGAGCAUGACACCGGGAAGUGUACAUGUACAGCUGGGUGGACUGGAGCCAGAUGUGCCACACGGUGUGGCAGCGGCAUGUAUGGUGUUGACUGUGCACAGGACUGUUCACCUGGGUGUGAGACGUUGGGAUGUGACAGUUCAACUGGAGCGUGUCCGGGUGGACGUUGCAACCCCGGAUGGACGAACGCU